rnacentral:rRNA from 1 species
AUUGAACGCUGGCGGCAGGCCUAACACAUGCAAGUCGAACGAGUGGCGGACGGGUGAGUAAUGUCUGGGAAACUGCCUGAUGGAGGGGGAUCACUACUGGAAACGGUAGCUAAUAACGCAUACCAUAAGAUGUGCCCAGAUGUGUUUAGCUUGUUGGUGGGGUAACGGCUCACAAAGGCGACGAGCCCUAGCUGGUCUGAGAGGAUGACCAGCCACACUGGAACUGAGACACGGUCCAGACUCCCACGAGAGGCAGCAGUGGAGAAUAUUGCACAAUGGGCGCUAGCCUGAUGCAGCCAUGCCGCGUGUAUGAAGAAGGCCUUCGGGUUUUAAAGUACUUUCAGCGGGUAGGCGUUACCCGCAGAAGAAGCACCGGCUAACUCCGUGCCAGCAGCCGCGGUAAUUC